rnacentral:tRNA from 1 species
GGAUCAUUAUCUCAGCAGGUCAGAGAGGCCGUCUCAUAAACGGCAGGUCCCAGGUUCGAGCCCCGGAUGAUCCA